AUAGAUAUAGUAAAAAAAAGAAGAUAAUGCGCGGCCUUUGUUGUUAGUGAAGCCACAAAACUCGGCUCCUUCAAGUAAAUACACGCGCUCACGCACACAUAUGCAUCAAACUACGCUCAUUUUCGUUAGUAUGUCACGAGGCUUCAUACAGUAACUUUGCUUAUAAAAUGCCGUCUUGUGUGAUUAAGUGGUGCAAAAACAAUACCAAAGUAAACAAAAAAUCUGAAGGAAUAUCGUUUCACACGUUUCCAACGAAUAUUUUAAUAAGAGGUGAAUGGGUAGCGGCUGUAAAACUGAGAAAAUGACCACGAUUAUGCUGGCCAUGCGCAUAAAGUCAAUUUAAUACGAUUAGUGAUUGAAAAAUAUUUGAACAUAAG
rnacentral:misc_RNA from 1 species